rnacentral:rRNA from 1 species
UACGGAGGGUGCAAACGUUGCUCGGAAUCAUUGGGCGUAAAGCGCACGUAGGCGGUCCAGCAAGUCGGGUGUGAAAGCCCUCGGCUUAACCGAGGAAGUGCAUUCGAAACUACAGGACUUGAAUACUGGAGAGGAUCGCGGAAUUCCCGGUGUAGAGGUGAAAUUCGUAGAUAUCGGGAGGAACACCAGUGGCGAAGGCGGCGAUCUGGACAGAUAUUGACGCUGAUGUGCGAAAGCGUGGGGAGCAAACAGG